rnacentral:rRNA from 1 species
UACGUAGGGGCCAAGCGUUGUCCGGAUUUAUUGGGCGUAAAGAGCUCGUAGGCGGUUCGGCAAGUCAGCUGUGAAAUCUCCACGCUCAACGUGGAGGGGUCAGCUGAUACUGCUGUGACUCGAGUCCGGUAGGGGAGAAUGGAAUUCCCGGUGUAGCGGUGAAAUGCGCAGAUAUCAGGAAGAACACCGGUGGCGAAGGCGGCUCUCUGGGCCUUACCUGACGCUGAGGAGCGAAAGCGUGGGUAGCGAACAGG